GCUGUAGUAAUCUGGAUUGGAGCGGGAAAGAAUCCAAUUGAUUCUUCAGUAGUUGCUCGGGUAUUAAAUUCAUCUCUUCCUGCUUAUAAUGAU
rnacentral:sRNA from 1 species